AGUAAAAUGCCUGAUAAAAGGAUUAUUUUGAUAUAAUAAGUAUGUAAGUUUAAAUUUACUUUUACUA
rnacentral:tRNA from 1 species